UUGGAGGGCAAGUCUGGUGCCAGCAGCCGCGGUAAUUCCAGCUCCAAUAGCGUAUAUUAAAGUUGUUGCAGUUAAAAAGCUCGUAGUUGAAUUUCGGGGUUAGCAGGUUGGUCAUGCCUCUGGUAUGUACUGGUCUCACUGAUUCCUCCUUCCUUAUGAACCGUAAUGCCAUUAAUUUGGUGUUGCGGGGAAUUUGGACUGUUACUUUGAAAAAAUUAGAGUGUUUAAAGCAAGCUAACGCUUGAAUACAUUAGCAUGGAAUAAUGAAAUAGG
rnacentral:rRNA from 1 species